UCGGUCUCCUCCACGCACUCGUGGAAGCGCACCACAUGCGCCCGCAGCUCGCGCUGCAGCCCCUUGCUGCGGCAGAUGCUCUCGCUCAGGCAGUGCAGCUUGAGCUGGCUCAGCUGGGGCCAGCGGGGACCAGGGAAAACAGAAGAAAGUCAGAGAGGACUCCCUUCUCCACCAAAUCCUCGAGAUGGACCACUCUGUCUCCUUCCUGCCACUCUAGAGAAGGACCCCGGCUCCUACAGAAAUGCAUACUGAACUACUUUGGGGUAAAAUAUCAUGAUGUGUAUAAUUUCCCGUCACAACGCUUCAGUUAAAAAGCAUAAAUCAAAUAUGGCAUCAUAGUAAUUAAUCAUUGUUCAGUCUACGUGGUGGGGCUGUGGAGUCUCCGUAUAUCCUUCUCUCGAUUUUCCUGUAUAGUUAAUUGUCUUCAUAAUAAAAAAGGUUUUAAAACACCCCAU